GACGAACGCUGGCGGCGUGCUUAACACAUGCAAGUCGAACGGAAAGGCCCUGCUUUUGUGGGGUGCUCGAGUGGCGAACGGGUGAGUAACACGUGAGUAACCUGCCCUUGACUUUGGGAUAACUUCAGGAAACUGGGGCUAAUACCGGAUAGGAGCUCCUGCUGCAUGGUGGGGGUUGGAAAGUUUCGGCGGUUGGGGAUGGACUCGCGGCUUAUCAGCUUGUUGGUGGGGUAGUGGCUUACCAAGGCUUUGACGGGUAGCCGGCCUGAGAGGGUGACCGGCCACAUUGGGACUGAGAUACGGCCCAGACUCCUACGGGAGGCAGCAGUGGGGAAUAUUGCACUAUGGGCGGAAGCCUGAUGCAGCAACGCCGCGUGCGGGAUAACGGCCUUCGGGUUGUAAACCGCUUUCGCCUGUGACGAAGCGUGAGUGACGGUAAUGUGUAAAGAAGCACCGGCUAACUACGUG
rnacentral:rRNA from 1 species